rnacentral:tRNA from 1 species
GCCUGAGUGGCUCAGUCGGUUGAGCAUCUGACUUCAGCUCAGGUCAUGAUCUCAUGGUUUGUGGGUUCACGCCCCAUGUCAGGCU